UGUGCUGAACUCCAGUUCUGGGUGAGUUUCUGGGAAACCAGACUCAUUCGGGGAGAAACUGGACUGUCUGGCAGC
ncrna:Eptesicus fuscus (big brown bat) microRNA efu-mir-9230b precursor